UUAGGCAUGGGUUACCCUUGGCAGAGCUCAGUUAAACUUUGGGGAACCUGAUAGUGCCAUUCAAAGCUUUGACAAAGCAUUAGCCAUCAAGUUUGAAAGCUUAAGGUUGUUGACAAUAGGAGAUGCAUAUUAUGAAGAGCAAGUAAGAGCAAUGAUUGACCAAAUGCUUCAACAGGUCCAUGUGCUUUGAGAAGGACUCAAUCACAUGAUGUUGGGUACAAAGUUGCUUCAUAUAUAGAUUGUGCAGGAGGGGAAAAGAUACAGUUCAUGUAAUCUCAAUCAAGUCAAGCUGUGGUUCUUAGUUUAGUUUAGGAAAAAAUGCACAGACA